rnacentral:rRNA from 1 species
AUUGAACGCUGGCGGCAUGCUUUACACAUGCAAGUCGAACGGUAACAGGUUAAGCUGACGAGUGGCGAACGGGUGAGUAAUGCAUCGGAACGUGCCCGAUCGUGGGGGAUAACGCAGCGAAAGCUGCGCUAAUACCGCAUACGAUCUGAGGAUGAAAGCGGGGGACCGUAAGGCCUCGCGCGAUCGGAGCGGCCGAUGUCAGACUAGGUAGUUGGUGGGGUAAAGGCCCACCAAGCCGACGAUCUGUAGCUGGUCUGAGAGGACGACCAGCCACACUGGGACUGAGACACGGCCCAGACUCCUACGGGAGGCAGCAGUGGGGAAUUUUGGACAAUGGGCGAAAGCCUGAUCCAGCAAUGCCGCGUGCAGGAAGAAGGCCUUCGGGUUGUAAACUGCUUUUGUACGGAGCGAAAAGGUCCUUUCUAAUACAAGGGGCUCAUGACGGUACCGUAAGAAUAAGCACCGGCUAACUACAUGCCAGCCGCCGCAGUAAUAC